rnacentral:rRNA from 1 species
UACGGAGGAUCCAAGCGUUAUCCGGAUUUAUUGGGUUUAAAGGGUGCGUAGGCGGCCUAUUAAGUCAGGGGUGAAAGACGGUAGCUCAACUAUCGCAGUGCCCUUGAUACUGAUGGGCUUGAAUACACUAGAGGUAGGCGGAAUGUGACAAGUAGCGGUGAAAUGCAUAGAUAUGUCACAGAACACCGAUUGCGAAGGCAGCUUACUAUGGUGUUAUUGACGCUGAGGCACGAAAGCGUGGGGAUCAAAC